UACUACUACUAAUUGAAUUUUAAACCUAAUUUUAUCUUCCCCUGCGCCGCAAUCUUCUUCUUUCUCCUCCUUUUUCUUCUUCUCCUCCUCCUCCUCCUUCUCUAUUCUUCUUUCUCUAUUUUUUCGUUCCCUUCUCUGGUUCUUUCUGCAUCUCAAAAUUUUCUGCCCAAGCUCUUCAACCAUCAACAAUCCUCUAUAAACCAGGUAAGCCCUUGCUUCCAUUCUAAAACACAAAAGCACGAGGGAGCCAAGUGCAAUUUUCAGAAACUUCAAAAAGUGAAAUGCAGUAGCAACUGCAUCUUUUGUGUAUCACUGUUGAAAAAACGGAAAAACGGACAAUUUGGGAUGCGAUUUGCGGUAUGGUUGGAGGUGAAUUCUACCCCAAAGUCGGUAAUGCUACGCCGCCGCCGCCCAGAUUCAUACUUUUGGUGAUAGUGUGAUAUUAUUGGUGAUUUGGAUUGAGAGUGGCGGCCAUUGUCUGAUGAUUACUAAAAAAGAACGGAGAUUUGAAUGGUGGUUUUGUUGAAGCCUGGUAAUAAUUGCUUUGCAUUGCAUUGGCUCCAAUUCCAUCCUUGUAAUUAACUUCUACUUCAAAUGAAGGCUUGGCUUGGCUUGCUCUUCAUCCACUCAUUUCACAAUCUUUCGAAGCAUCUUAUAAUCUCAAGAAAUGUUGUGAUACGAAAUAAUCUACACUACUUUAUAAAGAAACUAUCUUGUAUGGGAGAAUUUCCUUUGAAUUUGUUCUCAGAAGAAAAAAAUAUUUCAUUUGAAAUCGUUGAAUACAAAACAGGUAAGUAAAGUUAACUUCA